UACGUGGGGUGCAAGCGUUGUUCGGAAUUACUGGGCGUAAAGAGCACGUAGGCGGGCUCGUAUGUCAAUUGUGAAAUCCCCGGGCUCAACCUGGGAAUGGCAGUUGAAACUGCGAGUCUUGAGUAUCUGAGAGGAUGGGAGAAUUGCUGGUGUAGUAGUGAAAUACGUAGGUAUAUCAGCAGGAAUACCUGAGGCGAAGGCGCCUAUCUGGCAGUGUACUGACGCUGAGGUGCGAAAGCGUGGGGAGCAAACAGG
rnacentral:rRNA from 1 species